UGGAAGUGUAAGCCUAGUAUAGAACCUUUCU
rnacentral:piRNA from 1 species